CGCUGGGCAAAAACAAAACAGAGUCCAAUCCCGCACGCAACCUCCUCCCCGUUCCUCUCUGCCCUGCGCCGUCCCCAUCCUCUGUAGAAGGAGCACGGCUCUCGUCGCUGUGCCUGGUGGGGAUCCGGUGCAUCCCCUCUCCGCUCGCCUCCUCCUCUCCUGGGUCCCUGCGUUGCCGGCUCAGCCGCUUCUCCUGCGUCUUCUCCUCCCCGCUUCUCUCCUCCUAGUCGAGUCCUGGACCAGAUCGGCGUCCGGCGCGGGAAGCUCGGGGUGGUCGCAGGUUCGGGCGCCAUCUCCUUUCUUCCCGUACACUGGGAUCAAACAGCCCGCGGCCUGGCGGUGCCGGCCUGGAUCCGAAGGCAGAUGGACCAGAUCCUGGAGCUGGGCACGAAGGAGCUCGAGGUCGACGACUCCGGCUUCGUCCUCCUCCUCUGACGUCGCCACCUUGCUCAGGUCCAACACGUCUAUCCAUCGCCCCAGUUUUUACCAUUUCGUCGUGAUUACCAUCCCACACCAUCCAUAGGGUGUGCCUUCUGCCCUUCUCACCACUCUGAACUCGGAGCAAGUGGAAAUUGGGUUGGGGAAGUUUUUCGAGCUCGAAAUUAAACCCAGUUCUAGAAUAGUAGAAGCUGGUGCUGAGAUGGUCGGUAGGCAGUGGCACUCAUAGGUCUCAAUUGCUUCAAAUCUAUUUGGUUUUAGGUGAUUUGGCACCCAAAACUCACAACACUGUUGCUACACAUCAGUUCAGGAAUCAAGGCAAAUAGCGGUAUUUCCCUUUGGGGUGAAUGGACGAACUGAUUAUGGGAAGACCAACCAAGUAGUUUAUACAAUACUCACAAUUUCUCACACUUCCAGCGAAUUAAACUGACGAUUAGAUGUGCCUUCUCUCCUUCGUACAUUGUUUAGGGGUUUGGUUUGAGAAGUGGGUUGCAGCACUCAUGAUUUUGCUUGUUUCAGGGAUGGAAUGAAUUGGGGGUCAGCAUCUAACACACACACACACAGAGGGAGAGAGAGAGAGAGGAUAAUUCUGUUUAUUACGUCAACCAUGUAGUAGAAACCAGAUAGAACUAAACAGCUAGGGUUUUGAAGUUGACUCGGUAGCUGAAUGUCCAUGAAUUUGUGUAAAACGACAAGUGCGCUACUGAAUUAAAAUUCUACCUAUUCAUUCCAUUGCCCAGUUACCAUCUGAAAGGUUCUAUUUUGCCACCGCAACUCUAAUUAGAUUGUUAUAGUUCAGACUAAGGGGAUCAAGAUUAGUCAUCUGUUAGCUAUGUACUAUGGACCUCAACACUAGCUGAGUAGCUACGUAGCUAAUCAUUGAUCUUGCCUUGGGUGAAAGGCUGGCGUUUGUUAAUUCAGAUACUGAAAGGUAACCCACACUGACUUUAUUUGUUUACUUUCCUUCUGAAAUCUUAUUUGCUUAGCUUCUAUUGACGACAUUUCUAAUCUUUUAUCUUCGUCGGUAAACUCAACUGCAUCUCAGUUUUCUGUUCCCAUUUCCUGGAUUGCGGGUCCUGAUGCGCAAGAUUCUUCUGUUUGCUACGGGUCCUGGAUGAUGGCAAGCAUUGACGUGCGUACGCCGUUGCAACAGCCACACCUCAACCCUCCUGACGCAUGCAAUAAUCAGCGGUGCCAAAAUGAUUUAGUAUUUGCAAAGGUCGCUUUUGUUGCAUUUUCUACGUGAGAAACCAUCUCAGGCUAUAAGUUUGCACAGCCUGGACACUUCACUUGCAUACCUUGUUAGUUACUGAUUGGACUAUACGUAAUUAUGUUCACUUAUAUAUAACAAGAGUUACUUUACCCAACUCCCAAGGAAAUUGAUAAAAGAAAAACAUAUCUGCAUACUAAAUGUUCUUGCAAAUCUUGUUCUCAGAUUGUCAAUUGAAGGUGACCACGAGAUAUUCUCAUGUUCUUUUAUAAUGUUUAUUUGGGGAUUAAAAUCUUGAUAAUUAGAUGUACUGCUUCGCUUCAUAUGUAAUUUCCCUCAUGCCUUCUAAUCCGUUCAGAUGACUAGCUAUUAUCCACAUUAGGUUUUGCUCUAUCUAAUUGGUCGUUCAAUUAGUCAAAUAGCCGUUUCAUUUUUAUUAUGCUGACACAAGAUCUGUCUCUAUUCUAAGAUUUAGUUUCUGGUCACUUUUUGUGAGGUUUUUCAUCAAAGAUUCUCUUUAAACUCCUAUUUUAUACCUUUCUUUAUGGUUCUUUGCAUGGAAGUACUGUCUUCUUGCUUAUAUUAUUCUUCUGCUAUCAUACAGAUUUGGAUGCACCUGCACAGUACUGAUAGUACAUGAAAUUCAUCAACCUGCAUCCAAAUGCAUACAAUAUGCAUGCUAAGCUUUCUUCAAAUUUGCUCUAACAGAGUGAUGAAUACAAUAUGCAUGCUAAGCUUUCUUCAAAUUAUUCUAAUUGAUCUUAAAAAGCUGGCUACUAGUGUUAUUUGCUGCAAUUUAUUUCUGACAGCCAGGUAGUCUUGGAAUGCUUUCGUAAUGCAAUUUAUUUUUGACAGACAAGCUAUGCUAAUUGAUCUUGAAAAGGUGGCUACUGGUGUUAUCUGCUUUGUGGAAGGCUGUUAGCAUUAAACUUUAGUGCUCGCCUGUUCAUCAUAGUCUCAUUCCCUAGAUAAUUAAUGAGGCAUGAAAAAUAGGUGAAAUUGCAGGAAAAUUGAAGAUGGGAACACGAUUCAUUUUGUCAAUGGGAACAUCUACUGUUACAGAUACACUUUCUGUAUUCUACCUAUCGAUGGCGUAAUGUUUGAAUAUUAAGUCAUUUCUUUUUGUCAUUAGCAGUUGCUUUUAUUUAUGUUCAUAUUCCAAGUAUGCAUGUGCUGCUCCGGUGGUGUUUUAUUAGUUGAUUGGCAUAUAUGGAUCUCUCCAUGUUUAUUAGUUGAUCUCCAACCCCUACUCUGCUGUGGUUCUGUGGGAGCAAGAAGAGCAUGCAUGCUUUCUCUCUACAUCUAGGGUCCAUACGGCCAGAUUGACGGGCCUAAACUCUGGCUUCACUCGGAUUUAUGUGAAUAUAAGCGUAAGAGGUCUAGUGGCAAUGCUACAAAAUCACUGCAGGCGUGAGUAUCCUGAUUGCACUGCUGCUGGCCGUUUCUUGCGAUUGCGUACAACAGGCUUCUGACAAAGUCAAGUCAUGGCCUCAUUGACAAAGUGCUUUCAGUUUGGCUGGACAAAGUGCUUUCUUGCGAUUGCACUACAAUGCAUUGUACCCAUCCAUGCUCCAGGGAUAUAAUAACGUUGUAGAUAGACGGAGACUGAAUCAGUUCACACUACUUUGAUGUCUAUCGAGCCAAUGGGACAACAAAGAAAAGAAGAACCGGAAGAAGGUUAUCUAUCUUCACGAGCAAGUUGGUGUCUGUAAACCUUCACCGGAGCCAUUCCAGCUCUUUCAGAGCCACAAGGUGAGCCGGAAGUCAGUGCAAGGAGGGAACCAAGACCCCAACGGUGCGGAGCAGUUUCCCAUCGAGAGGACUAGGGCUGCCAUCAGGGACCUGUAGACCAAGCUCAACAUCUCCCUCGUGCCUCCAUCAACACCGUGUCCUGGAGGGUCGUUGCCGUCCGCGACGACGAGCUACUGCCGCAGCUUUGCCAGCCGCACGGUUAGAGGGAGGCAUCAAGGUCCUGCCACCGCUCCCGGGGCUGAUUUUCUUCCUCAGGUGAUAUUCCAAUAUACAAUAAGUUCCAUCAAGAAUUGCAUGUACAUGUGCUGCUAUCCUGAUCCAAAAAGGAAAGUAAAAAGGGCGUUCAUCUACCUGGCACCGCCCAGAUGCCCCUCAAGCGGCGCGCCACGGGUGCGCCCCAACUACUAGUGAAGGAUUGAAGUAUCACCAAAGAACUAGCUAUGGACAGGGGUGCGUGGAAGCUUGCUAUCCAUGUGCCCGAACUAAAGGCUUUGUUACAAAUCCAUCCUUUGUCGAAAAAGGGUGUCUCUACAGUCGAUGCAAUUUAUGAACUCCUGAGUUAAGGCAACAUAAGUGACACAACCAGAAACCAAGAAGCAUGUUACUCCUGUCGAGCUGUGUCCAAUACUCAAAACACUUUACAAAACUUUAAUCAAGAUGUUGGAAUGCUCUUGGAUCGCCAUUUUUGCCUCUUGUAGUUACAGUUUUUCUUAUGUUAUAGUCUUGCUGCCUCUACAGGUGCCUGCAUUUUGUGUACUACUUACGCACUUGCAGGGAACUUGGUACCAGUUCAAUUCUCGAGGCGAUACAAGAUGAAUCAAUGUCCGAUCCACGGGAAAGAAUCGAGAUGGCACAACGCCAGUCCCUCUACCGACCUUCUCUCCUCGACCUGCCUAAUUGUGAUAUCAAGCUGUGGCUGUAGCCUUUAUUUAUGGAGAAAUGUUGCGAGUUUGCAGGGUUUGCUGAUCCUUCUGUCGGUGAACCCGCAAGUGCAUAUUUGUAGUGUAUGCUUAUAUGUGUACUGCUGAGUAUGAGAUGAGUUUUUUUAAUAGCAAGGUGAGAUAAACUUCUUAUCAUCCGAGUUGAUGUCCACCUGUAUAUACAACCCUUUAGUCAAUUGUAUUUUUUGUUUGCAUGGCAAGAGAGAUACCUGUAAUUCUUUUGAACUUUGUAAGUAGCUCAUUGUCACUGCUUUAGUUGAGCGGCUCAGUGUUGCUGUCUUUUACUUCUACUUAAGAAACAGAGGACGCCUGUACUUCUGUAUAUGUAAUGCUUUUAUGCAUGUGAUGACUUGUCGCAAA